rnacentral:rRNA from 1 species
UACAGGGGGUGCAAACGUUGCUCGGAAUUACUGGGCGUAAAGGGCGCGUAGGCGGCCUGUUAAGUCGAACGUGAAAUCCCCGGGCUCAACCCGGGAACUGCGUCCGAUACUGGCAGGCUUGAAUCCGGGAGAGGGAUGCGGAAUUCCAGGUGUAGCGGUGAAAUGCGUAGAUAUCUGGAGGAACACCGGUGGCGAAGGCGGCAUCCUGGACCGGCAUUGACGCUGAGGCGCGAAAGCCAGGGGAGCAAACGGG